UACGUAGGGGGCAAGCGUUGUCCGGAAUCAUUGGGCGUAAAGAGCGUGUAGGCGGCCCGAUAAGUCCGCUGUGAAAGUCCAGGGCUCAACCCUGGGAUGCCGGUGGAUACUGUCGGGCUCGAGUCCGGAAGAGGAGUGUGGAAUUCCUGGUGUAGCGGUGAAAUGCGCAGAUAUCAGGAGGAACACCAAUGGCGAAGGCAGCACUCUGGGACGUGACUGACGCUGAGACGCGAAAGCGUGGGGAGUAAACAGG
rnacentral:rRNA from 1 species